UACGAAGGGGGCUAGCGUUGCUCGGAAUGACUGGGCGUAAAGGGCGCGUAGGCGGAUGGCACAGUCAGAUGUGAAAUUCCCGGGCUUAACCUGGGGGCUGCAUUUGAUACGUGUUGUCUUGAGUUCGGAAGAGGGUCGUGGAAUUCCCAGUGUAGAGGUGAAAUUCGUAGAUAUCGGGAGGAACACCAGUGGCGAAGGCGAUCACCUGGGGUUGUUCUGACGCUGAGGAGCGAAAGCUAGGGGAGCAAACGGG
rnacentral:rRNA from 1 species